rnacentral:misc_RNA from 1 species
UACAGAGACCUCAAACGUUAUCCGGAUUCAUUGGGCGUAAAGCGUCCGCAGGUGGUCUUUUAAGUUGAUGGUUAAAUUCUGGAGCUUAACUUCAGAACUGCUGUCAAAACUGGCAGACUCGAGGCUGGGAGAGGCAAGCGGAAUUCUCGGUGUAGUCGUAAUAAGCGCUGAUAUCGAGAAGAACACCAAAGGCGAAGGCAGCUUGCUAGAACAUGCCUGACACUCAUGGACGAAAGCGUGGGGAGCGAAUAGG